rnacentral:lncRNA from 1 species
UGAUUUUGGAUUUGGAUAUACAUGUGAGAUUUCUUUUGAGACACUCAUAUAUAUUGUGUAUACUCAAUUGCUUCUUACAAGUACUGCUAAUUCUUUUUUAACUUUAUUUGCAAGAAUUAUAGUACCUAGGUUGUGAGGUUGAGUGGGUAAGUGAGUGGCCUUGUAUGAGAGUGGGUGGAAUUUGCUUGCUUAUACUCAUUUGUGUUGUAAAGGGUUUUGUCCCAG